rfam:Streptomyces natalensis ATCC 27448 Scaffold_32, whole genome shotgun sequence.
GGUCAUGAGUGUCAGCGACAAGCCCUGGCUUGCUGACCGGCAACCCUCGCGCCGCGGUGGGGUGCCCCAGGUGACGACCGGACCGGAAGACCUUCGGUAAGCGCGAGCC